rnacentral:misc_RNA from 1 species
GCUCAGCUUUUGUUCUACAGAUUUGUCCUUUUGGACUCUCUAUGAUUGGCAUGGACUGGGGGGCGACCUCAGCAUCUUAAUCAUAGACAGUUUAACAAGUACAAGUAGUGAGAGGAGUAGAGUGAAUCAAGAACGAAGUAUAAGGGAUCAAAAAUGAGAGCCAGACUUGGUACCAGUUGCCAAGUUCUCGACUGAUGGCCUUGGUUGAGAUUCUCAAAGCUACAAGUUGGAAGGAUGGACUGGGGGAGACAAGAGGUCUCUGGCAGGGCGGUUGAGGACUAGACCAGGCCCCUUUGGACAGGAGCAAGGCCUCAGAGGUAGGCGGACGGUGCUGUCAGAGGCUGAGGUCUCGAUGUGAAGUCAGAGUUGAGAGCUGGCAGGCUUGGGUCUGUACCGGUGAGCAUACUAGGAGCUGCAAAGACCAAGUAUGAGUGCUGGUGAGCCCAAGUCUGCCUGCUCUAGUGUGUAUCCUUCCAAGAGCGACAGGCUUAUAGGGGCUGUUC